GAUGAACGCUGGCGGCGUGCCUAAUACAUGCAAGUCGAGCGAACAGAUGAGGAGCUUGCUCCUCUGCCGUUAGCGGCGGACGGGUGAGUAACACGUGGAUAACCUACCUCUAAGACUGGGAUAACUUCGGGAAACCGGAGCUAAUACCGGCUCAUAUAUUGUACCGCAUGGUUCAAUAGUGAAAGACGGCUUUCGUGUCACUUAUAGAUGGAUCCGCGCCGCAUUAGCUAGUUGGUAAGGUAACGGCUCACCAAGGCAACGAUGCGUAGCCGACCUGAGAGGGUGAUCGGCCACACUGGAACUGAGACACGGUCCAGACUCCUACGGGAGGCAGCAGUAGGGAAUCUUCCGCAAUGGGCGAAAGCCUGACGGAGCAACGCCGCGUGAGUGAUGAAGGUCUUCGGAUCGUAAAACUCUGUUAUUAGGGAAGAACAAAUGUGUAAGUAACUAUGCACGUCUUGACGGUACCUAAUCAGAAAGCCCCGGCUAACUACGUG
rnacentral:rRNA from 1 species